rnacentral:rRNA from 1 species
UACCAGCACCCCGAGUGGUCGGGACGAUUAUUGGGCCUAAAGCAUCCGUAGCCGGUCCUGCAAGUCUUCCGUUAAAUCCAGCUGCUCAACAGAUGGGCUGCGGGGGAUACUACACGGCUAGGAGGCGGGAGAGGCAAGCGGUACUUUAUGGGUAGGGGUAAAAUCCGGUUGAUCCAUAGAAGACCACCAGUGGCGAAGGCGGCUUGCCAGAACGCGCUCGACGGUGAGGGAUGAAAGCUGGGGGAGCAAACCGG